GCCGCUAUGGUGAAAUUGGUAGACACGCUGCUCUUAGGAAGCAGUGCUAAUGCAUCUCGGUUCGAGUCCGAGUGGCGGCA
rnacentral:ncRNA from 11 species